rnacentral:pre_miRNA from 1 species
UUUGGCAAUGGUAGAACUCACACUGGUGAGAUAACAGAAUCCGGUGGUUCUAGACUUGCCAACUA